UGAGUGCCUAAGCACUCAAUUUCGGUGCUCGGUGAAACCGAGCAUCCAAUACUAAAGAAACUUUACUGGCUUAGUACUGGGACCCCAUUUUUAGUAUACCUACAUUAUAUACAA
rnacentral:rRNA from 1 species